CAUUUAAUUGGUGUUCAAACCAAUUGAUCCAGGACAAUAUUUCCUAAAAUUUAAUAAAACCAGAUGAAUGAAUAGGUUUGAGCUUUGAACUGGCAGCCUGUAUAGUUCAAACCAGUCAGACCAUCGAGCUAGGCAUCUAGUAGGGUUUCUUUAUAUUGCAUAAGUUUUUACCUAGGGCCCAAUCUAGUAGCACUAAUUCUUAUUCUGAAUGGAUGGAUGAAUCGGUCAAUGGUGAAUGUCUGGUCCCUCGACCAAAUCCAAGUGGAGUACCAACCCCAAGAUUUGGAAAGUUUCAGGAUACAAUUAGGAGUCUUUGUUUUUUCCUAUAUAUACAUGAACCAAAUGAGAAAACAUAUUUGGAAUGAAUUGAACAACCUGCUGGUUGCUGGUCGUGAGUAUUGGUAUCUUCUCUUUCUUCCCUGUUCGAUUCAAGUUCGACUUUCUUCUUCUCAGAUGUGCCAUAGGACUCUGCUGUUACAAAUUCCCUGAAGGUCAAAUGGGGUUCUCCAGCAAAGCCAGUUAUAUGCUCAAUUGUUAAUAUUAUCCAAACAAGAAACUCUGUGUUUUGAAGGAAACAUGGUGGUACAAUGUGGGAUCCUUUCAACCGUAACUUGGAUGUCUAUCAACAAUUUUAUGAUUUAAUUUACAAAGUCGGUGUAAGGUGCCACGAAAUAUUGUUGUGUGGUCCGAACUUGCUGGAACUGGGUCUCCUCAUGCUGCCUAUCCACUUGCAGGUUUUCAUGGGUCACUUCUUUGAUUUUCCUUUUUCCCAUUCAUAGCACUGACUUAAGUAAAUUUCUUUGGCAGAA